AGAGUUUGAUCAUGGCUCAGGAUGAACGCUAGCGGCAGGCCUAAUACAUGCAAGACGAACGGUAACUUGAGUAGCAAUAUUUGAGCAAGAGUGUCGUAAGGGUGCGUAACACGUAUGCAAUCUGCCCUCAACAGGAGGAUAGCUCCCCGAAAGGGGAAUUAACACUCCAUAAGAUUGUGGUCUGGCAUCAGACAGCAAUUAAAACUACGGUGGUUGAGGAUGAGCAUGCGCAUGAUUAGUUAGUUGGCGGGGUAACGGCCCACCAAGACGAUGAUCAUUAGGGGAACUGAGAGGUUGAUCCCCCACACUGGCACUGAGAUACGGGCCAGACUCCUACGGGAGGCAGCAGUAGGGAAUAUUGGACAAUGGGUGCGAGCCUGAUCCAGCCAUGCCGCGUGCAGGAAGACGGCCUUCUGGGUUGUAAACUGCUUUUGCCAGGGGAUAAAAAGUCCCUGCGGGGAAAAUUGAAGGUACCUGGUGAAUAAGCCACGGCUAACUACGUGCCAGCAGCCGCGGUAAUACGUAGGUGGCAAGCGUUGUCCGGAUUUAUUGGGUUUAAAGGGUGCGUAGGCGGUCCAUUAAGUCAGUGGUGAAAUACGGCAGCUUAACUGUCGAGGUGCCAUUGAUACUGGAGGACUUGAGUACAGACGAGGUAGGCGGAAUUGACGGUGUAGCGGUGAAAUGCUUAGAUAUCGUCAAGAACACCGAUAGCGAAGGCAGCUUACUAGACUGUAACUGACGCUGAGGCACGAAAGUGUGGGGAUCAAACAGGAUUAGAUACCCUGGUAGUCCACACUGUAAACGAUGAUUACUCGAUGUUGGCGAUACACAGCCAGCGUCUUAGCAAAAGCGAUAAGUAAUCCACCUGGGGAGUACGCCCGCAACGGUGAAACUCAAAGGAAUUGACGG
rnacentral:rRNA from 1 species